AUCCUUUUGUAGUUCAUUAAGUGUGAUGACUGGGUUUUCAUGUUCAAGCAUGAGAUAUACCUCCUUUAAACCUUAUGAAGACGUCAGCAUAUUACCCAUCUGAGG
ensembl:snoRNA